AAAAAUAAAAAUAAAUAAUACAAUUAGAUUUGAGUCAACUCUGAACCUGUAUCUCUUUUCAGGUAUAAUAUUAAGAGUUUACCUCAAAACCAAGCCUUAUAAACUGAUAAUAUUGAGCAAUAAUUUGACUAGAGCCUGCCAAAAUGAGGAAACCAAAAUGGAGUUAAUAAAAUGAAAAAGCUACUAAAAGAACAAAGGCACAAAUGGUUCAUCUUUUAGAAAAAGAGGAGAGGGACACCCAGAAGAAGUGAGAGAAAACCUUAGUUAAUAAAGGCCAGGGGGAAGAUGAGCUUAUCUAAUUUCAAUAAUGCAAGUAAAACAUGAAUCUAGAAGACGAUUCAAUAAAAGAUGCGACAUAUAUAUAACAUCUUAAAUGAAGUUCUAGGCAGGCCAGGCCACUAUUCAAGGCUAUAUCUCUAACCAAAUCCAUCCCCAUAUAAUAAAAACAUAUCAAUAUUUUACUAAUCAGGUAGUCUGCAACAGGUCAGGACUUAUAAAUGCACAUCUCAACCCUGCCUACCUUAGGAAGCCCUCAAAUCAGGAAAAGAAAAACUUUGUUGGCAGCAAAAUAUUGGAAAGAUAAACCACAGGCGCUUCAUGAAAGCAGUCAUAUAGAAAAAGGAAAGAUAUCACUUAUGAUCUAUGACCGAUUAAGCUCUAAUUAGUUUUGUUGGUUUACAUAUUAGGGGGAGAGGAACUCGACCUGGGACAUUACCCUAGCUGAGAGAUUCACCUAGUAUCAAGCUAAGCUUGUGGGUGUAUCAAGCUCUAAUUUCAGUUCUUAUAGUCAAUAUCUCACUUUUAAAACCAGAAGGAAAUCAAGAAUGUGGAACAAACUUAAACCAAAAGACAAGCACAAAUGUGGUAAGCUUAUUCUUUUUCUUUCCCCUUUAUUUUUCUGAAUCGUUUUUCCUCUCAUUCUUACCAAAUA
rnacentral:misc_RNA from 1 species